rnacentral:rRNA from 1 species
GAUGAACGCUGACAGAAUGCUUAACACAUGCAAGUCAACUGUGGCGGACGGGUGAGUAACGCGUAAAGAACUUGCCUCACAGAUAGGGACAACAUUUGGAAACGAAUGCUAAUACCUGAUACUGUGAGAGAGUUUUGCGUCCCAUUAGCUAGUUGGAGCGGUAACGGCUCACCAAGGAGAUGAUGGGUAGCCGGCCUGGGAGGGUGAUCGGCCACAAGGGGACUGAGACACGACCAUUAGGCCUACGGUAGGCAGGAGUGGAGAAUAGUGGACGAUGGACCAAAGUCUGAUGCAGCAAUUCGGUGUGCACGAUGAAGUUUUCGGAAUGUAAAGUGCUUUCAGUUGGGAAGCGGUACCAACAGAAGAAGUGACGGCUAAAUACGUGCCAGCAGCCGCGGUAAUAC